rnacentral:rRNA from 1 species
UCCAGCUCCAAUAGCAUAUAUUAACGUUGUUGCAGUUGAAAAGCUCGUAGUUGAACUUUUGGUAGGAGCGACCUGGCCUUGGGCGCAUGCCCUUGUUUGCCGUGUGUCGUAUCUGGCCAUCCUUUUCUUCUUCGGAAGGAAUCAUUUACUGUGAGUAAACUGGAGUGCUCAAAUCAAGACGUUUGUUUGGUACAUUAAAGCAUGGAAUAAUAAGAUAGGACCUGGUUACUAUUUUGUUGGUUUGCAUAGCUAGGUAAUGAUUAACAGGGACAGUUGGGGGUAUUCGUAUUUAAUUGUCAGAGGUGAAACUCUUGGAUUUAUGAAAGACGAACGACUGCGAAAGCAUUUACCAAGGAUGUUUUCAUCA